GAUUAAGUUAUUAAGGGCGCACGGUGGAUGCCUUGGCACUAGAAGCCGAUGAAGGACGUUACUAACGACGAUAUGCUUUGGGGAGCUGUAAGUAAGCUUUGAUCCAGAGAUUUCCGAAUGGGGAAACCCAACAUGAGUUAUGUCAUGUUAUCGAUAUGUGAAUACAUAGCAUAUCAGAAGGCACACCCGGAGAACUGAAACAUCUUAGUACCCGGAGGAAGAGAAAGAAAAUUCGAUUCCCUUAGUAGCGGCGAGCGAAACGGGAAGAGCCCAAACCAACAAGCUUGCUUGUUGGGGUUGUAGGACACUCUAUACGGAGUUACAAAGGACGACAUUAGACGAAUCAUCUGGAAAGAUGAAUCAAAGAAGGUAAUAAUCCUGUAGUCGAAAAUGUUGUCUCUCUUGAGUGGAUCCUGAGUACGACGGAGCACGUGAAAUUCCGUCGGAAUCUGGGAGGACCAUCUCCUAAGGCUAAAUACUCUCUAGUGACCGAUAGUGAACCAGUACCGUGAGGGAAAGGUGAAAAGCACCCCGGAAGGGGAGUGAAAUAGAACCUGAAACCGUGUGCUUACAAGUAGUCAGAGCCCGUUAAUGGGUGAUGGCGUGCCUUUUGUAGAAUGAACCGGCGAGUUACGAUUUGAUGCAAGGUUAAGCAGUAAAUGUGGAGCCGUAGCGAAAGCGAGUCUGAAUAGGGCGUUUAGUAUUUGGUCGUAGACCCGAAACCAGGUGAUCUACCCUUGGUCAGGUUGAAGUUCAGGUAACACUGAAUGGAGGACCGAACCGACUUACGUUGAAAAGUGAGCGGAUGAACUGAGGGUAGCGGAGAAAUUCCAAUCGAACCUGGAGAUAGCUGGUUCUCUCCGAAAUAGCUUUAGGGCUAGCCUCAAGUGAUGAUUAUUGGAGGUAGAGCACUGUUUGGACGAGGGGCCCCUCUCGGGUUACCGAAUUCAGACAAACUCCGAAUGCCAAUUAAUUUAACUUGGGAGUCAGAACAUGGGUGAUAAGGUCCGUGUUCGAAAGGGAAACAGCCCAGACCACCAGCUAAGGUCCCAAAAUAUAUGUUAAGUGGAAAAGGAUGUGGCGUUGCCCAGACAACUAGGAUGUUGGCUUAGAAGCAGCCAUCAUUUAAAGAGUGCGUAAUAGCUCACUAGUCGAGUGACACUGCGCCGAAAAUGUACCGGGGCUAAACAUAUUACCGAAGCUGUGGAUUGUCCUUUGGACAAUGGUAGGAGAGCGUUCUAAGGGCGUUGAAGCAUGAUCGCAAGGACAUGUGGAGCGCUUAGAAGUGAGAAUGCCGGUGUGAGUAGCGAAAGACGGGUGAGAAUCCCGUCCACCGAUUGACUAAGGUUUCCAGAGGAAGGCUCGUCCGCUCUGGGUUAGUCGGGUCCUAAGCUGAGGCCGACAGGCGUAGGCGAUGGAUAACAGGUUGAUAUUCCUGUACCACCUAUAAUCGUUUUAAUCGAUGGGGGGGACGCAGUAGGAUAGGCGAAGCGUGCGAUUGGAUUGCACGUCUAAGCAGUAAGGCUGAGUAUUAGGCAAAUCCGGUACUCAUUAAGGCUGAGCUGUGAUGGGGAGAAGACAUUGUGUCUUCGAGUCGUUGAUUUCACACUGCCGAGAAAAGCCUCUAGAUAGAAAAUAGGUGCCCGUACCGCAAACCGACACAGGUAGUCAAGAUGAGAAUUCUAAGGUGAGCGAGCGAACUCUCGUUAAGGAACUCGGCAAAAUGACCCCGUAACUUCGGGAGAAGGGGUGCUCUUUAGGGUUAACGCCCAGAAGAGCCGCAGUGAAUAGGCCCAAGCGACUGUUUAUCAAAAACACAGGUCUCUGCUAAACCGUAAGGUGAUGUAUAGGGGCUGACGCCUGCCCGGUGCUGGAAGGUUAAGAGGAGUGGUUAGCUUCUGCGAAGCUACGAAUCGAAGCCCCAGUAAACGGCGGCCGUAACUAUAACGGUCCUAAGGUAGCGAAAUUCCUUGUCGGGUAAGUUCCGACCCGCACGAAAGGCGUAACGAUUUGGGCACUGUCUCAACGAGAGACUCGGUGAAAUCAUAGUACCUGUGAAGAUGCAGGUUACCCGCGACAGGACGGAAAGACCCCGUGGAGCUUUACUGUAGCCUGAUAUUGAAAUUCGGCACAGCUUGUACAGGAUAGGUAGGAGCCUUUGAAACGUGAGCGCUAGCUUACGUGGAGGCGCUGGUGGGAUACUACCCUAGCUGUGUUGGCUUUCUAACCCGCACCACUUAUCGUGGUGGGAGACAGUGUCAGGCGGGCAGUUUGACUGGGGCGGUCGCCUCCUAAAAGGUAACGGAGGCGCUCAAAGGUUCCCUCAGAAUGGUUGGAAAUCAUUCAUAGAGUGUAAAGGCAUAAGGGAGCUUGACUGCGAGACCUACAAGUCGAGCAGGGUCGAAAGACGGACUUAGUGAUCCGGUGGUUCCGCAUGGAAGGGCCAUCGCUCAACGGAUAAAAGCUACCCCGGGGAUAACAGGCUUAUCUCCCCCAAGAGUUCACAUCGACGGGGAGGUUUGGCACCUCGAUGUCGGCUCAUCGCAUCCUGGGGCUGUAGUCGGUCCCAAGGGUUGGGCUGUUCGCCCAUUAAAGCGGUACGCGAGCUGGGUUCAGAACGUCGUGAGACAGUUCGGUCCCUAUCCGUCGUGGGCGUAGGAAAUUUGAGAGGAGCUGUCCUUAGUACGAGAGGACCGGGAUGGACAUACCUCUGGUGUACCAGUUGUCGUGCCAACGGCAUAGCUGGGUAGCUAUGUGUGGACGGGAUAAGUGCUGAAAGCAUCUAAGCAUGAAGCCCCCCUCAAGAUGAGAUUUCCCAACUUCGGUUAUAAGAUCCCUCAAAGAUGAUGAGGUUAAUAGGUUCGAGGUGGAAGCAUGGUGACAUGUGGAGCUGACGAAUACUAAUCGAUCGAAGACUUAAUCAA
rnacentral:rRNA from 1 species